GUCGAGGGGCAGCAUUUUAGUUUGCUUGCAAACUGAAGAUGGCGACCGGCGCACGGGUGAGUAACACGUAUCCAACCUGCCGAUAACUCCGGAAUAGCCUUUCGAAAGAAAGAUUAAUACCGGAUAGCAUACGAAUAUCGCAUGAUAUUUUUAUUAAAGAAUUUCGGUUAUCGAUGGGGAUGCGUUCCAUUAGUUUGUUGGCGGGGUAACGGCCCACCAAGACCACGAUGGAUAGGGGUUCUGAGAGGAAGGUCCCCCACAUUGGAACUGAGACACGGUCCAAACUCCUACGGGAGGCAGCAGUGAGGAAUAUUGGUCAAUGGGCGAGAGCCUGAACCAGCCAAGUAGCGUGAAGGAUGAAGGCUCUAUGGGUCGUAAACUUCUUUUAUAUGGGAAUAAAGUUUUCCACGUGUGGAAUUUUGUAUGUACCAUAUGAAUAAGGAUCGGCUAACUCCGUGCCAGCAGCCGCGGUAAUACGGAGGAUCCGAGCGUUAUCCGGAUUUAUUGGGUUUAAAGGGAGCGUAGGUGGAUUGUUAAGUCAGUUGUGAAAGUUUGCGGCUCAACCGUAAAAUUGCAGUUGAAACUGGCAGUCUUGAGUACAGUAGAGG
rnacentral:rRNA from 1 species